CUGUUGCUUUCCAUUGUGACAGGGCAGCACAGAGUUCCAAUACAAAGUUCCAUAGUCACUGCACUCUCCCUCCCAAGCGUCGUCCCAAGUAGUUUCUCUCUCUGUACCACAUGGUUGCUGCUAGGAAAUGGGGGAAAGGUGGUUUUGGCAAUUCAAAUUGUCUUUCCUAAACUCUUCAGUGCUUUUUCCCUUGGUAUAAUAUAAAAACCAGGUGUUCACUCACCUGAUUUUUAGUUCUUAUGAAGAGAAGGAAAAAAUGGAGAGUUAAUCAAUGGGCAUAAAAUUUCAGUCAAGCAAGGGAUCCCCAAUUCCUGGACUAUGGACCAGUUCUGGUCUGUGGCUUGUUAGGAACUGGCUUGCACAGCAGGAGCCUGUUGAAGAUAUUAUACCACUCCCUCCUGGUCUGUAAAGUUUCUGCUGAGAAAUUUACUGAUAACCUUAUAAAUUCUCCGGUGUAUGUGGAGACUUCAUAUUUGAGAAAUGAAAACUUACAUUUAUGGGAGAAAAAAUAUGUCUUGGAUUUGCUUCAAAAUAAGCCAGGUUGCAGAUGGUAGUCUGAGAGGGACAGAAUGAGAGGGAGCAGGAGAAAGAAGCGAAUAAAUAAGAAUGCAUCUGGAGAAUGAGGCA
rnacentral:lncRNA from 13 species